rnacentral:rRNA from 1 species
UUUAACUGAAGAGUUUGAUCAUGGCUCAGAUUGAACGCUGGCGGCAGGCUUAACACAUGCAAGUCGAGCGGGGGAAGGUAGCUUGCUACUGGACCUAGCGGCGGACGGGUGAGUAAUGCUUAGGAAUCUGCCUAUUAGUGGGGGACAACAUCUCGAAAGGGAUGCUAAUACCGCAUACGUCCUACGGGAGAAAGCAGGGGAUCUUCGGACCUUGCGCUAAUAGAUGAGCCUAAGUCGGAUUAGCUAGUUGGUGGGGUAAAGGCCUACCAAGGCGACGAUCUGUAGCGGGUCUGAGAGGAUGAUCCGCCACACUGGGACUGAGACACGGCCCAGACUCCUACGGGAGGCAGCAGUGGGGAAUAUUGGACAAUGGGGGGAACCCUGAUCCAGCCAUGCCGCGUGUGUGAAGAAGGCCUUAUGGUUGUAAAGCACUUUAAGCGAGGAGGAGGCUACUUUAGUUAAUACCUAGAGAUAGUGGACGUUACUCGCAGAAUAAGCACCGGCUAACUCUGUGCCAGCAGCCGCGGUAAUACAGAGGGUGCGAGCGUUAAUCGGAUUUACUGGGCGUAAAGCGUGCGUAGGCGGCUUAUUAAGUCGGAUGUGAAAUCCCCGAGCUUAACUUGGGAAUUGCAUUCGAUACUGGUGAGCUAGAGUAUGGGAGAGGAUGGUAGAAUUCCAGGUGUAGCGGUGAAAUGCGUAGAGAUCUGGAGGAAUACCGAUGGCGAAGGCAGCCAUCUGGCCUAAUACUGACGCUGAGGUACGAAAGCAUGGGGAGCAAACAGGAUUAGAUACCCUGGUAGUCCAUGCCGUAAACGAUGUCUACUAGCCGUUGGGGCCUUUGAGGCUUUAGUGGCGCAGCUAACGCGAUAAGUAGACCGCCUGGGGAGUACGGUCGCAAGACUAAAACUCAAAUGAAUUGACGGGGGCCCGCACAAGCGGUGGAGCAUGUGGUUUAAUUCGAUGCAACGCGAAGAACCUUACCUGGCCUUGACAUACUAGAAACUUUCCAGAGAUGGAU